rnacentral:rRNA from 1 species
AACGAACGCUGGCGGCAUGCCUAACACAUGCAAGUCGAACGAUUGCCUUCGGGUGAUAGUGGCGCACGGGUGCGUAACGCGUGGGAAUCUGCCCUUAGGUUCGGAAUAACAGCUGGAAACGGCUGCUAAUACCGGAUGAUAUCGCGAGAUCAAAGAUUUAUCGCCUGAGGAUGAGCCCGCGUUGGAUUAGGUAGUUGGUGGGGUAAAGGCCUACCAAGCCGACGAUCCAUAGCUGGUCUGAGAGGAUGAUCAGCCACACUGGGACUGAGACACGGCCCAGACUCCUACGGGAGGCAGCAGUGGGGAAUAUUGGACAAUGGGCGCAAGCCUGAUCCAGCAAUGCCGCGUGAGUGAUGAAGGCCCUAGGGUUGUAAAGCUCUUUUACCCGGGAAGAUAAUGACCGUACCGGGAGAAUAAGCCCCGGCUAACUCCGUG